rnacentral:rRNA from 1 species
CCUACGGGAGGCAGCAGUGGGGAAUAUUGCACAAUGGGGGGAACCCUGAUGCAGCGACGCCGCGUGAGUGAAGAAGUAUUUCGGUAUGUAAAGCUCUAUCAGCAGGGAAGAAAAUGACGGUACCUGACUAAGAAGCCCCGGCUAACUACGUGCCAGCAGCCGCGGUAAUACGUAGGGGGCAAGCGUUAUCCGGAUUUACUGGGUGUAAAGGGAGCGCAGACGGCUGUGCAAGUCUGGAGUGAAAGGCGGGGGCCCAACCCCCGGACUGCUCUGGAAACUGUAAAGCUGGAGUGCAGGAGAGGUAAGCGGAAUUCCUAGUGUAGCGGUGAAAGGCGUAGAUAUUAGGAGGAACACCAGUGGCGAAGGCGGCUUACUGGACUGCAACUGACGUUGAGGCUCGAAAGCGUGGGGAGCAAACAGGAUUAGAUACCCGGGUAGUC